GACGAACGCUGGCGGCGUGCUUAACACAUGCAAGUCGAACGGAAAGGCCCCUUUGGGGGUACUCGAGUGGCGAACGGGUGAGUAACACGUGAGUAACCUGCCCUUGACUUCGGGAUAACUUCAGGAAACUGGGGCUAAUACCGGAAAGGAAUCCUUGCUGCAUGGUGGGGGUUGGAAAGCUUCGGCGGUUUUGGAUGGACUCGCGGCGUAUUAGCUUGUUGGUGGGGUAGUGGCUUACCAAGGCGUUGACGGGUAGCCGGCCUGAGAGGGCGACCGGCCACACUGGGACUGAGAGACGGCCGAGACUCCUACGGGAGGCAGCAGUGGGGAAUGUUGGACAAUGGGGGCAACCCUGAUCCAGCCAUGCCGCGUGCGGGAAGAAGGCCUUCGGGUUGUAAACCGCUUUUGUUCGGGAAGAAAUCCUCUGGGCUAAUACCCCGGGGGGAUGACGGUACCGGAAGAAUAAGCACCGGCUAACUACGUG
rnacentral:rRNA from 1 species